rnacentral:rRNA from 1 species
GACGUAGGGCGCGAGCGUUGUCCGGAUUUAUUGGGCGUAAAGAGCUCGUAGGCGGCUCGUUGCGUCGGCUGUGAAAACCCGCAGCUCAACUGUGGGCUUGCAGCUGAUACGGGCGGGCUGGAGUUCGGUAGGGGAGACUGGAAUUCCUGGUGUAGCGGUGAAAUGCGCAGAUAUCAGGAGGAACACCAGAGGCGAAGGCGGCUUUCUGGCUGCUAACUGACGCUGAGGCGCGAAGGCUGGGGUAGCGAACAGG